UACGUAGGGGCGAGCGUUGUCCGGAGUACUGGGCGUAAAGCGCACGCAGGCGGUCUGCUAAGUUUGGAGUGACAGUUGGUGGCUUAACUGCCAAAGUGCUUCGAAACUGACAGACUUGAGGGCUUCAGAGGGACACGGAAUUCCGGGUGGAGUGGUGAAUGCGUAGAGAUCCGGAGGAACACCAAAGGCGAAGGCAGUGUCCUGGGGAGUACCUGACGCUCAGGUGACGGAAAGCCAGGGAGGCGAACGGG
rnacentral:rRNA from 1 species